GACGAACCGUGCGAACGUUGUUCGGAAUCAUUGGGCUUAAAGGGCGCGUAGGCGGGUGGACAAGUCAGGGGUGAAAGCCCACGGCUCAACCGUGGAAGUGCCUUUGAUACUGUCCGCCUGGAGGGAGGUAGGGGCGGUGCGGAACUUCCGGUGGAGCGGUGAAAUGCGUAGAUAUCGGAAGGAACACCGGUGGCGAAAGCGGCGCGCGUGGACCUCUUCGUGACGCUGAGGCGCGAAAGCCAGGGGAGCGAAC
rnacentral:rRNA from 1 species